AUCGAAGAAAAUGAAACGCACGUGGUGGUCAUUAUAGCGGUUCCUUCAGAUCCUAGAAAACGUCCGAAAAAACUGGCUACGGAACUACCGAGCAAAGGCAAAAAGACAAUAAGUAGAUACAUAAGAUCGAGUCUCUUAAAAAAAAUCAGACAAUGUUCAAGCGGCCUGUCAUUGAGACAAAAACGUGUUAAGCAUAUAAGCACUUUCGACUUGAUUUGUAGUGGUCAGUUACGCAAGACGGGAAGAGAGUUUCCUUCUUCAGAGUCCUUUUAUCCCAAUAUUAAGGAUAAUGUGUGGGCCUUUACUGAAAGAAGAUGGUUGAUCCCCUUGCCGACUCAUUCCAUCCUCCCCCUGGUGGGUCGUCCUCUUAUUCACUCUCGCGAGCAAAGAAGAAGAGAGACAGCAUUCAAGCCAGCAAUGGACUGAGAUCGGAAGAGCACAC